rnacentral:rRNA from 1 species
UACGUAGGGGGCAAGCGUUAUCCGGAUUCAUUGGGCGUAAAGCGCGCGUAGGCGGCUUGUUAAGCGAGAUGUGAAAACCGGGGGCUCAACCCGCGGCCUGCAUCUCGAACUGGCAGGCUUGAGUCUGGUAGAGGAAAGUGGAAUUCCUGGUGUAGCGGUGAAAUGCGCAGAUAUCAGGAGGAACACCAGUGGCGAAGGCGGCUUUCUGGGCCACGACUGACGCUGAGGCGCGAAAGCUAGGGGAGCAAACAGG